CUUCCUCGUUCGACAGGUUCAGUACCUGCGUCUCCUGGGCGCGGCCGCGGGUGACGACUUGGACGCGGCCGUUGUGCUGGCUCGGCAUCGGGAUGG
rnacentral:tRNA from 1 species